CUUCGAGUCAGAGGCGCUCAGCCAAACAUCGAGCGUCUUCCUCCAACGACUACUGGACCGGUAAUUCACCGUCCCAGCUGUGAAGGAGAAACGUCCUCCGGGAGUCCCACUCGCAGUACGCCACGCCCCACAACCUGCAGGGCUGGAGACUUGGGGAAGAAGCUGUACAGCGUGCUUUGUCGCGACAUGGCCACGGUCGCCAAGGCCCAGCCGCUGUGUCGGACCGAGCCACUAGAGGCACGGCAAGAAAUGUAGGCUCAGGGGGAAUGAGCCAGUUAUAAGACAGAGGUUAAGAGCCAGUGCUUGGGGUAACUCGAGACCUGGCCUCUGACCUAACUCACCAGGCAGGCAUACACUGCAUUGAGGAACCUGCACACCGCAACGAAGAGCAGCCCCCGCUCGCCGCAACUAGAGAAAGCUGCGUGCAGCAACGAAGACCCAAUGCAGCCCAAAAUAAAUAAAUAAAUUUAUAAAG